rnacentral:rRNA from 1 species
UACAGAGGGGGCAAGCGUUAUUCGGAAUUAUUGGGCGUAAAGGGCGCGUAGGCGGCAUGGCAAGUGGAUGGUGAAAUCCCUCGGCUUAACCGAGGAACUGCCGUCCAAACUGCUUCGCUUGAGACCGGGAGAGGUGAGUGGAAUUCCCAGUGUAGCGGUGAAAUGCGUAGAUAUUGGGAGGAACACCAGUGGCGAAGGCGGCUCACUGGAUCGGUACUGACGCUGAUGCGCGAAAGCGUGGGGAGCAAACGGG